rnacentral:rRNA from 1 species
AUUGAACGCUGGCGGCAGGCCUAACACAUGCAAGUCGAGCGGAUGAAGGGAGCUUGCUCCCUGAUUUAGCGGCGGACGGGUGAGUAAUGCCUAGGAAUCUGCCUGGUAGUGGGGGAUAACGUUCCGAAAGGAACGCUAAUACCGCAUACGUCCUACGGGAGAAAGCAGGGGACCUUCGGGCCUUGCGCUAUCAGAUGAGCCUAGGUCGGAUUAGCUAGUUGGUGAGGUAAGGGCUAACCAAGGCGACGAUCCAUAACUGGUCGGGGAGGAUGAUCAGUCACACUGGAACUGAGACACGGUCCAGACUCCUACGGGAGGCAGCAGUGGGGAAUAUUGGACAAUGGGCGAAGGCCUGAUUCAGCCAUGCCGCGUGUGUGAAGAAGGUCUUCGGAUUGUAAAGCACUUUAAGUUGGGAGGAAGGGCAUUAACCUAAUACGUUAGUGUUUUGACGUUACCGACAGAAUAAGCACCGGCUAACUUCGUGCCAGCAGCCGCAGUAACAC